UGAUUUCUUUUAUUAAUAUUCAUUUUUCAUGACUAAAAUAACAUUAUGCACAGUGAGAAGCCUACAGGUUACAAGCUUCACAUAUUAGAAAAAUAAUAAUAAUAAAAACAACACAUUUUUUUAAUGGCUCGUUGUCAAGGUUGUUUCAGAUCAACACCUGCAAGAGACCACUAGGUGUCACCGUUGAGACGGGUGUCGGAUUGAUUCGAAGCCUCGACACAAUAGCUGUGUCCCAAACUUAAGUGCGUGGACUCCGAAGUGCGCAUUUGAAGUGCGAAUGCAUCACAGUGGCGCGACGAAGGGUGUCCCAAACUGAAGUGUGUGGACUCCGAAGUGCGGAUGUGAAGUGCGAUUGCGUCACAGCGUCACGACGUAAGCUGUCCCAAAGUCAGAAUGCGCACUUCGAAGACCGCAUUUGAAGUGCGAAUGUGUCACCGCGGCGCGACGAAGGCUGACGAAUUUCGAAAGCGACUUCAAAUGUGCCCUUCAUUUCCCAUGGAAAUGGAGUGUACAUCUUAUGGACACUUCGCACCCUUCCAUAUCCCAGAAUCACUUGCGUGCAUAGGACGAAGGUGUUUAUAUUCAGAGGUAGGUGAGAGUUCUGUGGAGGACUUCACAUUGAAAUGCAUGGUUUAUUUGUGAAGUGUCCUGAGACAGGUGAGGGAGUGAGUGGACAGGGAGGACAUCAAACUCAAACAAAUACAUUCUUCAUUAGCCAAGAGAAAACAGUGGGGAAAAAAUGAGUACAUUACAGUUUUUCCAAUACAUUUUUUAAAUGUCAUAUUGUCAAUGAAACAACCUAAUUUCUGUAGUUUAUUUUUGUGACGCAAGUUAAAAAUUAAAUGCAUAAAUUGUAUACAUUAUUCAUUUUGUGUGUGUAAUUUAUUCGUAAAUAAGCCUGAGUACUUUCUGUACAUUUUGUAUUUUUGUUUUGCAUAUUCACAUGUGUAAAUAAAAGAAAAGUGCUUGUAUGCUGCAAGCUUAUAAUUUUUUUCACAAAACAUUCUUUUAUAUGUUUAUUUGUUUGUCCUGUAAAUACUUUUUUACACAUUAAAACAAAUUGUUCUAUACAUAAUAGAAAGUACCUUUUACAACCAUUUACAACAUAGCUCAGGUUUAACAUCAGAAAAACAACAUCAGUUUGAGCCCGGCCCUGCCUCCAUGUGUUCUGGGGUCUUCAGGAGGUCAAUCUCUUGGUGAAUGGCCAGCACCUCCGACUCGGAGGACAAUGUGGUGACAGUGGAACGAGGCACAUGUCAAACACUCUGGAGACCAUCUGUAUGAUGUACAGCUGGCAGACAGGAGAGAAACACCAGGAUCUGGAUCGUGGCACACCAUCACUGUUGCCGUUCACUUCCCAGUAGAUCCAGCAGCACUGUCAGGGCCAAAACCAUUAAAAACCAUUAAACACCUGUCCAGCGCUGGCACAUUCAGCUUUAUCCUGCAGUACAGGGGUCUGGUCUGAUUUAGGGAAAGAAGGAAAAGAGAAAUUGUUUAGAGCUAUGACAACAUAAUUAGUAAAGAAAUACUGACAUACUUUAGUAAACUACUUUUUGUAACUACUAAUACCAGACUGGGGAAAAACUACUACUCAUAAUAUUUAAAACCUUAGCUGAAGGGAUAGUUUACCCAAAAAUAUAAAUUACAAACCUGGAGCAACGGAAGGGCGAGUAAAUGAUUACAGGAUUUUCAUUUUUGGCUGAACUAUCCUUUAAGUAAAAGUAUUAUCUUGCAUACUCUAAUAUAAUUCAGGUAUUGAGAGUAAAAUUAAAGGUAUGUGCAGUAUUGUCUUGAAAAAGAGAAUUUGUCAGGAUGGUUUUACAUUAAUAAUACUGCUGCACUUCUGUGUAUGUUGCAGUUUACUUCUAAAUAUGUUCAAGGUUAUUACAUUUAAAGUUGCUGGACAUUAACCCUCUGGAGUCUAAGGGUAUUUUUGGGGCCUGGAGAAGUUUUGUCAUGCCCUGACAUUUGUGCUUUUUUCAGUUUCUUAUAAAUAUCUAAAUGGCUAAAGUCUAAUCUCACUGUAAUCAGCACAAACUGGGCUAUAAUAAUAUGUGAGCAGCAUGUAUGUACAUGAUUGUGUUUUUGAGAAAAAAAAUGUUAUGCGUGGUUAGUGAAAAACUAAAAAUGUUAAAUCACUUGAAUAAGGCAAUAAAACACAUACAGAAAAAUU
ensembl:lncRNA